rnacentral:rRNA from 1 species
AGUUUGAUCCUGGCUCAGAUUGAACGCUGGCGGAAUGCUUUACACAUGCAAGUCGAACGGCAGCACGGGAGCUUGCUCCUGGUGGCGAGUGGCGAACGGGUGAGUAAUAUAUCGGAACGUAUCCAAUAAUGGGGGAUAACUAAUCGAAAGGUUGGCUAAUACCGCAUACGCCCUGAGGGGGAAAGCUGGGGAUCUUCGGACCUAGCGUUAAUGGAGCGGCCGAUAUCUGAUUAGCUAGCUGGUGGGGUAAAGGCCCACCAAGGCGACGAUCAGUAGCUGGUCUGAGAGGACGACCAGCCACACUGGAACUGAGACACGGUCCAGACUCCUACGGGAGGCAGCAGUGGGGAAUUUUGGACAAUGGGCGCAAGCCUGAUCCAGCCAUUCCGCGUGAGUGAAGAAGGCCUUCGGGUUGUAAAGCUCUUUCGCAAGGGAAGAAACGAUUUAGGUGAAUAAUCUAAGUUAAUGACGGUACCUUGAUAAGAAGCACCGGCUAACUACGUGCCAGCAGCCGCGGUAAUACGUAGGGUGCGAGCGUUAAUCGGAAUUACUGGGCGUAAAGCGUGCGCAGGCUGUUUUGUAAGUCAGAUGUGAAAUCCCUGAGCUCAACUUGGGAACUGCGUUUG